AUGGUGAUGGCUGUGAGCAACGACCCUCUGUUUUUCGGCGGGGGCACCCGGCUGUCUGUGCUAGCUGUGAGCGCUGCCACUCGGUACUUCGGCGCGGGCACCCGGCUGUCGGUGCUGGACGACCUGAGCAAGGUGACCCCACCCAAGGUGGCUGUGUUCGAACCGUCAGAAGCUGAGAUCUCCCGGACCCAGAAGGCCACGCUCGUGUGCCUGGCCACGGGCUUCUACCCCGACCACGUGGAGCUGAGCUGGUGGGUGAACGGGAAGCAGGUCAAGACAGGGGUCAGCACGGACCCUCAGCCCCACAAGGAGGACCCCAGCCACAGUGACUCCAGCUACUGUCUGAGCAGCCGGCUGAGGGUCUCCGCCCCCUUCUGGUACAACCCUCGCAACCUCUUCCGCUGCCAAGUCUGGUUCCACGGGGUCUCGGACGAGGACGAGUUGGAAGCAGGACGGGCCCAAACCCGUCACCCAGAACAUCAGUGCCGAGGUCUGGGGCCGAGCAGACUGUGGCUUCACCUCGGUGUCCUAUCAGCAAGGGGUCCUGUCUGCCACCAUCCUCUAUGAGAUCCUGCUGGGGAAGGCCACCCUCUAUGCUGUGCUGGUCAGCGCCCUGGUGCUGAUGGCCAUGGUUAAGAAAAAGGAUUCCUGAGACCAGCUCCAAAAGUGCAUUAUCCUCACCUUGGAUGCUCCUUAACAUGUUUCCAGUCUGUGUUCCUCAAGAGUUUCUCUCUCUACACCUUUUAUCUCCUUCCUACACGGAUAUCUGUCCCUUCUCUCAGCUUCCCUGCAGAUUGAGCUCCUCACCACUGAAUCUGAAACUGACUAAAGCAAUAAAAGUGUCAUGGUGGGCUUGA